AUGUACCACUCGUACACUACGGUUCUGAGCGCGCCGCCCUGACGACUGCUCGCUAAGCUGUGUCAGCC
rnacentral:sRNA from 1 species